CUUUGUUUGCUGUCACACAGUGAUGGGGUGGAUAGAGAAUCUUCUGCUUUGCUCUUUCUUUGUGUCAAUCUACCUGUUCACACAGGUUAAAUGUGGUCCUGUGGAUGCAGUCUCAGUUUUGAGUAAAGAAAAUGAUGCUCCCUUUGCGGCAUUCCGGAAUCUUUUAUCAAGAAAAAGAAGAGCUGGAGAGGUAGGGCUUUUUUGGAAGCUUGAAGAUUAAUUUGACAUGUAUUAAUCAAAUGUACUCAUGUGACAUGUUGACACAUUUUCACCUUUUUUAUUAUCU